CCUGACUCUAAAGGCUUUUAGGAGUGGCUUCUGUGUCACAAUUUUUAUCAGUAGGUGGCGGAGAGGCGAGAGGCUAUGUCUUAGCUUAGUGCUCUGACCUAUUAAGAACAUCUGAAUGAUUAGUGGCUUUAUAAU
ensembl:snoRNA Gm25846 predicted gene, 25846